UUAUAUAAAUUAUACCUCACUUUUUAAAAGUUAAAAAAAAAAAAGCCUAAUCUCCUAAUCUCAGAAGCUAAGUAGGGUCGGGCCUGGUUAGUACUUGGGUGGGAGACCACCUAGGAAUACCAGGUGCUGUAGGCU
rnacentral:rRNA from 1 species